rnacentral:piRNA from 1 species
AAAGAGAAUUGAAAACAUAGGUGCACACAGGC